GCUGGCAGCUAGCUCUCUGCAACUCUCACAUGGUCGCCCACUGAAGCUAAGCAGGGCUGCGCCCGAUCAGUACCUGGAUGGGAGACCACAUGGGAAAGCUAGGUUGCUGCCGGAA
rnacentral:rRNA from 1 species